rnacentral:rRNA from 1 species
AUAUCAAUAAGCGGAGGAAAAGAAACCAACAGGGAUUGCCCCAGUAACGGCGAGUGAAGCGGCAACAGCUCAAAUUUGAAAUCUGGCUCCUAGAGUCCGAGUUGUAAUUUGUAGAGGAUGCUUUUGAUGCGGUGCCUUCCGAGUUCCCUGGAACGGGACGCCAUAGAGGGUGAGAGCCCCGUCUGGUCGGAUGCCAAAUCUCUGUAAAGCUCCUUCGACGAGUCGAGUAGUUUGGGAAUGCUGCUCUAAAUGGGAGGUAUAUGUCUUCUAAAGCUAAAUAUUGGCCAGAGACCGAUAGCGCACAAGUAGAGUGAUCGAAAGAUGAAAAGCACUUUGAAAAGAGGGUUAAAUAGUACGUGAAAUUGUUGAAAGGGAAGCGCCUAUGACCAGACUUGGGCCCGGUGAAUCAUCCAGCGUUCUCGCUGGUGCACUUUGCCGGGCACAGGCCAGCAUCAGUUUGUCUUGGGGGAAAAAGGCUUUGGGAACGUGGCUCCUUCGGGAGUGUUAUAGACCAUUGCAUAAUACCCUGGGACGGACUGAGGUUCGCGCAUCUGCAAGGAUGCUGGCGUAAUGGUCAUCAGCGA